GAUGAACGCUGGCGGCAGGCCUAAUACAUGCAAGUCGAGCGACCGGACGAUGAGCUCUCUCCUUUGACGUUGGCGGCUGACGGGUGAGUAAGACGUGCAUAACCUUCCUCUUAGACUUGGAUAACUUCGUGGAACCGGAUCCACUACUGCCUCAUAUGUUCAACGGCAUAGUUCAAUAGUUAAUCACGGCUUUGCUGUCACUUAUAGACGGAUCCGGGUCGGAUUAGCUAGUUGGUAAGGUAACGGCUUACCAAGGCGACGAUGCGUAGCCGAUCUGAGAGGAUGAUCAGCCACACUGGAACUGAGACACGGUCCAGACUCCUACGGGAGGCAGCAGUAGGGAAUAUUCGACAAUGGGCGAAAGCCUGACGGAGCCACGCCGCGUGAGUGAAGAAGGUCUUCGGAUUGUAAAACUCUGUUAUUAGGGAAGAACAGAAGUGGAAGAAACUAUGCCCGUCUUGACGGUACCUAAACAGAAAGCAACGGCUAACUUCGUG
rnacentral:rRNA from 1 species